rnacentral:rRNA from 1 species
GAUGAACGCUGGCGGCGUGCCUAAUACAUGCCAGUCGAGCGAACGGACGAGAAGCUUGCUUCUCUGAUGUUAGCGGCGGACGGGUGAGUAACACGUGGAUAACCUACCUAUAAGACUGGGAUAACUUCGGGAAACCGGAGCUAAUACCGGAUAAUAUUUUGAACCGCAUGGUUCAAAAGUGAAAGACGGUCUUGCUGUCACUUAUAGAUGGAUCCGCGCUGCAUUAGCUAGUUGGUAAGGUAACGGCUUACCAAGGCAACGAUGCAUAGCCGACCUGAGAGGGUGAUCGGCCACACUGGAACUGGGACACGGUCCAGACUCCUGCGGGAGGCAGCAGUAGGGAAUCUUCCGCAAUGGGCGAAAGCCUGACGGAGCAACGCCGCGUGAGUGAUGAAGGUCUUCGGAUCGUAAAACUCUGUUAUUAGGGAAGAACAUAUGUGUAAGUAACUGUGCACAUCUUGACGGUACCUAAUCAGAAAGCCACGGCUAACUACGUG